GGGGAGGUGGAGCUUGAGCGUGUGCGAUAGUACCCGAAAGAUGGUGAACUAUGC
rnacentral:rRNA from 1 species